CUCGAUCUACAAAGCGUUUGUAGCGCAACGACAUUCGUAAGCCUAUGAUAAACUAUAGAGUUACGACAAGUCGUAACGUUACGAAUGCUUUGUGGAACGACAGCAU